UUACAUCUCUUCGGUAGCAUUUUACGUAGGUGCUGCAUGGUUGUCGUCAGCUCGUGCCGUGAGGUGUCGGGUUAAGUCCCAUAACGAGCGCAACCCCUACCUUUAGUUGCCAUCAGGUUAAGCUGGGGACUCUAAAGGAACUGCCUACGCAAGUAGUGAGGAAGCGGGGAUGACGUCAAAUCAGCACGGCCCUUACGUCCAGGGCUACACACGUGCUACAAUGGCCGAUACAGAGGGCAGCUACCUGGUGACAGGAUGCAAAUCUCCAAAGUCGGUCUCAGUUCGGAUCGGAGUCUGCAACCCGACUCCGUGAAGUUGGAUUCGCUAGUAAUCGCGCAUCAGCCAUGGCGCGGUGAAUACGUUCCCGGGCCUU
rnacentral:rRNA from 1 species